CAGGUAGGUAGCCGUGUUGGUCUGACGCAGUAGAAAUAUAUAUAUAAAAAUAAUAAAAACCCUGUCCAGUAGCACCUUAGAGACCAACUAAGUUUGUUCUUGCACAUGAAAGCUCAUACCAAGAACAAACUUAGUUGGUCUCUAAGGUGCUACCGGACAAUUUUUUAAUUUUUUUUAUAUACAUUUCUACUGCGUCAGACCAACACAGCUACAUACCUG